rnacentral:rRNA from 1 species
CUCGUAGUUGGAUCUCGGUGCCGGUCUGGCGGUCCGCCUCGCCGCGGUCUCACUGCCAGUCCCGGAGCCAUCCCGCCGGCCUUCCCUCGGUGCUCUUUACCGAGUGUCUUGGGUGACCGGAACGUUUACUUUGAACAAAUUAGAGUGCUCCAAGCAGGCGCGUCCCGCCCGCAUAGCCCAGCAUGGAAUAAUGGAAUAGGACCUCGGUUCUAUUUUGUUGGUUUUCGGAACCCGAGGUAAUGAUUAAUAGGGACAGACGGGGGCAUUCGUAUUGCGACGCUAGAGGUGAAAUUCUUGGACCGUCGCAAGACGAACUACUGCGAAAGCAUUUGCCAAGAAUGUUUUCAUUAAUCAAGAACGAAAGUUAGAGGUUCGAAGGCGAUCAGAUACCGCCCUAGUUCUAACCAUAAACGAUGCCGACCAGCGAUCCGCCGGAGAUCCUCCGAUGACUCGGCGGGCAGCUUCCGGGAAACC